rnacentral:rRNA from 1 species
UUAAAGGAAUUGACGGAAGGGCACCACCAGGAGUGGAGCCUGCGGCUUAAUUUGACUCAACACGGGGAAACUUACCCGGCCCGGACACUGUAAGGAUUGACAGAUUGAUAGCUCUUUCUUGAUUCGGUGGAUGGUGGUGCAUGGCCGUUCUUAGUUGGUGGAGUGAUUUGUCUGGUUAAUUCCGAUAACGAACGAGACUCUAGCCUACUAAAUAGACCACUGAUUGUAUCUCCAGUGUGUGAAGCUUUUAGUGGAGCAUACUUGGGGAAUCUAAACGUCAGUUGGUAUACUUCUUAGAGGGACAGGCGGAAUACAAGCCGCACGAGAUUGAGCAAUAACAGGUCUGUGAUGCCCUUAGAUGUCCGGGGCCGCACGCGCGCUACACUGAAGAGAUCAGCGUGUUUAUUGACCACUUGUUGGUAUCCUGGGCCGAAAGGUUUGGGCAAUCCGCUGAAACUUCUUCGUGAUUGGGAUUGAGCUUUGUAAUUAUCGCUCAUGAACGAGGAAUUCCCAGUAAGCGCGAGUCAUCAGCUCGCGUUGAUUACGUCCCUGCCCUUUGUACACACCGCCCGUCGCUACUACCGAUUGGAUAAUCUAGUGAGGCCUUUGGACCGGCUGAUCGCGCUUGUUUCGGCAAGCUGCGGCUAGCGGGAAGAAGCCCAAACUAGCUUAUCUAGAGGAAGUAAAAGUCGUAACAAGGUUUCC